AUGUCUGCAAGCAUAUUCCUUCUCAUGCAGCUCAAGUAUCUUCUAUUUUUCUUUCACAAGCCUACGGAAAACUUUUCUCUCCUUAAGAUCAGAAGGUUCCUCCAUGAAUGGAUACUUGUUGAAAUCCAUCAUGGCAGCAAACACCUCAUCAUUGCUCUUGAACCAUGCUUCAAGCUUCCUCUUGAUACCAAGUUCUCGGUCCGCUACAAUCUUCUCAGACGCUGCCGCCAAACUCUUAGAUGCAAUGCCUCAACACUUCUCAUAUACUUUCUUCAACUGCUCCGGGGUCAUGUUUUCCAUGCUACAUGA
rnacentral:rRNA from 1 species